UCUAAACGUGACGUCAAUGCCUAGUAACUGACGCAGCCCUCAACAGAAAAAAAAAUAGUUUUUUCUUUUUUUUUUUCCCUCGGCAGUAAGCUUUAAUUAUUGCAUUUUACUGAGUGUUCUGCAGGCUAAAUGCACCAUACUAUGGAAAAAACAGAAUAUAUAAACACACACAUGUGUGCUUCACGCGCAGUAGCCUAAUCUGUUCGUUCUUGUGUUUUCCCCAGCGACAGUUGUUUGAGGACAUUUGCUAUAAUUAACGGUUUGAAGCGACAUAGAAAUAGAGAUGGGGAGACAGAAAGAGCGCGUGAAGGCGAUCAGUGAAGUCAAGUUGUGUGUUUUGAGAAACAAGACGAAGAGAGGAAAUAUAAGGCGUUCGGUAUAUAAAAAAAAAUCUCUGCAAUGAUGCAACGAAGGGAAGUCAGGUCUCUCGUGCAGAGUUGGAGGGGCAAAAUUAAUGCACAUUUCAUGCUCUCCACGUAACGCUCCUGCGAGAUGCCUUUGUGAGUGUUUUUUUCUUACUGCGUACUAAAAAUAGCAUCAAGGUUUGAUCGUGGUCCAGAAAUAGAUGGAGGGUAUCACUUGUAUAAAAAGGAGCGCGAUUCUAGAAAACUUGGACAUGCUACUGAGGCUAAGAAUGAAUCGGGGGCAGCACGAUGUUGCACAUUACAAUUUAUCUCUUGCUCUUCUGUGUGUAAUUUAACUUAAAAUGAAAUGAAUAAAAGAAAUGUGUGUUUCCUCGUUACAGCGAGGGUUCCCCCACUCCGGGCCCGGCCUGCCGAUGUGCACGAGGGACCUUCAUUUGACUCGCGCUCGUGGGGCGCUCAACGGACGGACCACUCGGUGAAUCGAAUGGAAUGUCACAGUGGCACCGGAGUCGCACCACGGACUGUCCGCCCUACUGCAGCACACGAGCCUCCUGACGCUCUUCGCCCGCCGUCUUUGUGACGACAGUUUCUAGGUUUGGUUUAACUCUCCACCACCCCGUCUCCCUCCCUCUCUCUCUCUCUCUCUCUCUCUCUCUCUCUCUCCUAGUUUUGGUUUCCCUCUCCAACCCCCCACCCCCUCCACCCUCGUCUCUCUCUCUUGUUGUCUCCAGGUGACCUGACUGGGCAGGUAAAGGUGGUGCCGUUGAUCUUGAAGACACACUGACUGCAGCCCCCGCCCAGCCCCGCUCCUUUCAGUGCAGGAACCAGCUCCUACGCGGCGUCUCUCCUGUCCCGUGCUUCUGCUGAAUGGGCCCAGGCAGAGUCCCCCGCAGGAUGAUGGAGGGGUGCAUGCAGUUUGACACCCUGUGGCCAUAACUUUAAGGAUACGGAAGAUCGACCCUGCAGAGGAGGGAGGUGUACCUGACUGCAGCGGGGGCGUCGUCGGCUGGUAGACCAUCUUGUCCAGAUGGAUCAGUUCUGAUUCGGGGGCCUGUCUGUGUACAGCAUGAUGUCAAUCAAAAAUAAGUGGACAGAAAGAUGGUGUGUGCUCGUCUAAAUACCGACCCCUCUCCUCGGAGAUGAUUCUUCUUGUGAAAAGUUUCCAAAAAGGUAAACUGCGUUUAUACGUGUGUCUUCUUUCCAAGGUUUCGACUGUCAGGUCUGUGCUUUUGUGGGGGACAGUGUAGAAACUAUUCUUAUUUAGCAGUGCUGUUUUUUUGUUGUUGUUGUUCUUGUUGUUAUUUUCCUCUAUGCUAUUUUGGGAAAGAUUUGCAAAAAGAGCAUGUCUGAAUAUAUGCAGAUCUUAUUUAAGUGCCACAACUGUUCGAACAACUCCUCUAAAAGGAGGAGCAUUCAAUCGCAAAUCUGAAACUAUAAAUUAGAAGGUGUAGAUAAACCUUUAAUCGUAGGACCUCCGUGUCUUGAUUAUUGAAAAUCUGUUGUACGUGUGCUUGACGUUUUAAUCAACGUGUUUGUAAAGGUCAGGUGUGGAAUUAAACGUCUUAACAGGCAGUUUAUUAUGAAGUAUUUAUACAAAUUUUUGAAGUUUGUUUUCUCUGCAAUGCUCAGAAAGAUUGUUUAAACGUUGGAAAGUACUUUGUCUCGAUACAAAUAUGAAACUGUUCUUCGCACUUCAGUAAUUAAGUGGGCUAAAUGUAAAAUGUAAGCUACCGUUUCAAGAAACGUAUGAAACGUAGGCAAAGGAAAAUAUUCAUGUAAUGCAAUGUAUGUCACCUUCUUAGGGAUAACACAACACAAGAGAUUAGUUGCAAACUGCAGCGAGUGACGUGCAGUUUAUAACUUAUAAUAAGAUCAGCCUUCCUUAAAAGAAUGUGUCAAGGACAUUGAUUUGUGAAUAUGUGAUUUCGGCUGGGUUAAAGAUAUUUGAAGCUACAUUGAGGGCAGGUUACGAACUAAAUUCAGACACCUGAAGGUAUGCACGCUGCCGUUGGACAAUAUGGCACGACGUACAGAUCACCACGGCCAGACGCACGCGUAAACCAUGUGUAUCCGUGUGUAAGCAAAACGCAACGAUACAUUUAAUUAUACGAGCAUGUGAAUAAAUCAGUGAGAAUGUUUACCUGAUAGAUGCGUGAUACUGCUGAGCGAUUCUGCGCCUAUGACGAGGGGUAAUAUGAACGGUCGCUGUCCCGUGAUCACAGGUGCUGAUUUGGUGAAAGUUUGGAGAGCCGGUCUGUCAGACCCAAAAGUACUCUAUUAACGUCGUGUAAAAUGUUAUUCGUUGUCGCAUAAUCCAUUCUUUUGCAAAAAUAAUUGCUUAGGAAAUUCGCUGACCAGUGCAUGCAGGUGUAACUUCAGCAGAACAAACUAAUAAGAGUACGACAGGCAAAAGAGUUGAAUAACUAUGAGACGAUAUUGUUGCCUUUCCAAUUAAGUUACUUUAUCAAGUGGUCUGCGCUAAAGUGUGUUUAAAAUUGUCCUGUGUCACGGGCUGCUUUUUAAAAACGUUUUGCAAGUUACAGUAAAGGAGCUGGUUCAGUUUUAAGCUGCUGAGGAUUGUCAGGUCGAUCAAUCACUUGUUAUACUACUAAGAACACUUUACCUGUCUCAGAGAAAUUUCUAAAAUGAUCCUGCAAAAUGUGUUUUUUUGUGCUCAUCCGACUGUAAUGUGUGCGUCGUUGCAAUUCUUUUUUAUGGAGCCCACAAUAAAUACGUAACUGCUGUGUAAAGAU